rnacentral:rRNA from 1 species
UACGAAGGGGGCUAGCGUUGCUCGGAAUCACUGGGCGUAAAGCGCACGUAGGCGGCUUUCUAAGUCAGGGGUGAAAUCCUGGAGCUCAACUCCAGAACUGCCUUUGAUACUGGAGAGCUUGAGUCCGGAAGAGGUGAGUGGAACUCCGAGUGUAGAGGUGAAAUUCGUAGACAUUCGGAAGAACACCAGUGGCGAAGGCGGCUCACUGGUCCGGUACUGACGCUGAUGUGCGAAAGCGUGGGGAGCAAACAGGG